rnacentral:rRNA from 1 species
GAGUGAGAACGGGCGGUCGCACUCGCAAGGGUGUAGUACUGCACAAAAACCGGUCUCAUUCUUCCUUCUGGUCGCGCCGGACGCAUCUUCACGGGUGUGUUCGGUGACGCCGGAUCGGUUACUUUGAGCAAAUUAGAGUGUUCAAAGCAGGCGUUUCGCCUUGAAUACGUUAGCAUGGAAUAACAAAACAGGCUUUGGUUCCUAUUUUGUUGGUUUUGAGAAUCAAGGA